CCUAAUUCACUCUUAUCUUCGCUUCAUACGCUGUAACCCCUAAGACCUUAAAAAUAUUGUAUUUGUUGAUGCUCAAACUUUGCUUCAUCUUAAAAUUGCUAUAGGUAAUCAAUUCUUUUCCUUGGAAUGUUUGUGAAUCUGUUCAAAUCCACUCAAAUCAGCUUGCAGAAUUGUGCUCUCCGAUUGCUGAGAAAUAUAACUCUUUUUGGUGCUUCAUUAAGGGUUCUAGACCCCUGAAUAGAAUUACAAAUCUGAGUAAGCUGAAUCACCCUCUUCUGCUUUGCUUUACUUUAUCUACUACAUAUACUAAUCCCCUCAUUUUUGUAUUUAUGUUUGGUAAAGAGAUAAUGGGGUGCUCGGAAACGCAAGUAAUCGGGUUGUAAUUUCUUCUUCAGAUGUAUCACUUGCAUAACUUGAGAAACCCUCCCCUAUACUGCGAGUCCUUUUUGUUAUCUGUAUAAGAAUAGGCUAGAUAACUAUGUAUAGUUUUUGUUGCCUUUGUGGCAUGUAAAUACACAAGUUAAGCUUUAGCCUUUUGACCCCUUUGCUGGUGACACUCUUAUGUAUGGACAUUGUAAUUUAUCACUGUUUAGAAUCUUCUUGCCUGUUAUUUCCAA